CAGCAGCCACGGUAAUACGUAGGUGGCAAGCGUUAUCCGGAAUUAUUGGGCGUAAAGCGCGCGCAUGUGGUUUAAUAAGUCUGAUGUGAAAGCCCACGGCUCAACCGUGGAAGGUCAUUGGAAACUGUUAAACUUGAGUGCAGGAGAGAAAAGUGGAAUUCCUAGUGUAGCGGUGAAAUGCGUAGAGAUUAGGAGGAACACCAGUGGCGAAGGCGGCUUUUUGGCCUGUAACUGACACUGAGGCGCGAAAGCGUGGGGAGCAAACAGGAUUAGAUACCCCGGUAGUCCCUGUCUCUUAUAC
rnacentral:rRNA from 1 species